UACGUAGGGCGCAAGCGUUAUCCGGAAUUAUUGGGCGUAAAGAGCUCGUAGGCGGUUUGUCGCGUCUGCCGUGAAAGUCCGGGGCUCAACUCCGGAUCUGCGGUGGAUACGGGCAGACUAGAGUGAUGUAGGGGAGACUGGAAUUCCUGGUGUAGCGGUGAAAUGCGCAGAUAUCAGGAGGAACACCGAGGGCGAAGGCAGGUCUCUGGGCAUUAACUGACGCUGAGGAGCGAAAGCAUGGGGAGCGAACAGG
rnacentral:rRNA from 1 species